rnacentral:rRNA from 1 species
UAUGUGAUCGUCUCUCGCAUAUCAAUAAGCGGAGGAAAAGAAACUAACGAGGAUUCCCUUAGUAACGGCGAGCGAACCGGGAUAAGCCCACCAUGAGAAUCGGUCGCCCUCGGCGUUCGAAUUGUAGUCUGGAGAAGCGUCCUCAGCGGCGGACCGGGCCCAAGUCCCCUGGAAAGGGGCGCCGGAGAGGGUGAGAGCCCCGUUGUGCUCGGACCCUGUCGCACCACGAGGCGCUGUCGGCGAGUCGGGUUGUUUGGGAAUGCAGCCCCAAUCGGGCGGUAAAUUCCGUCCAAGGCUAAAUAUUUGCGAGAGACCGAUAGCGAACAAGUACCGUGAGGGAAAGAUGAAAAGAACUUUGAAAAGAGAGUUAAACAGUACGUGAAAUUGUCAAAAGGGAAGCGUUUGACACCAGUGUUGUUUUUCUGAAAAUCAAUUAGAGAACUGUUUAUGCUAAGUUGUUUAGACUUUAUCAGCUAACUGUUUAGUUUUGAGCUUUUCUUUAAUGCACUUUUCAGUUAACAAGUCAACAUCAAUUUCUUUUGCUGUAAAAAAGCUUGAGGAAGGUGGCUUGAGAUUCGUCUUAAGUGUUUAUAGCCUCUUGCCUAUGCAGUCGGAGAGAUUGAGGUCUGCAGCGUAGAUCCUUCGGGGCUAAAUGCAUUUGUGCUAAGUUAUAGCAUUUUAUAGACAACUUGUUGACUAUGAUUUGUCUUGUAGCUUACUCGCUUAUGUUAUUUUACCUACGCUUAGGAUGUUGAAGUCAUCGUAUCGCGC